rnacentral:rRNA from 1 species
UACAGAGGGGGCAAGCGUUGUUCGGAAUUACUGGGCGUAAAGGGCGCGUAGGCGGCCUGCUAAGUCGAACGUGAAAUCCCUGGGCUCAACCCAGGAACUGCGUCCGAUACUGGUUGGCUUGAAUCCGGGAGAGGUAUGUGGAAUUCCAGGUGUAGCGGUGAAAUGCGUAGAUAUCUGGAGGAACACCGGUGGCGAAGGCGACAUCCUGGACCGGUAUUGACGCUGAGGCGCGAAAGCCAGGGGAGCAAACGGG